GACGAACGCUGGCGGCGUGCUUAACACAUGCAAGUCGAACGGUGAAGCGCUUGCCUUUUUGGUGGGUGUGGAUGAGUGGCGAACGGGUGAGUAACACGUGAGUAACCUGCCCUCUUCUUCUGGAUAACCUCAUGAAAGUGGGGCUAAUACGGGGUAUUCCGGGUCUGUCGCAUGGCGGGUUUGGGAAAGAUUGCGCCUUUGGGUGUUUUCGGUGGGGGAUGGGCUCGCGGCCGAUCAGCUUGUUGGUGGGGGGAUGGCCUACCAAGGCGGUGACGGGUAGCCGGCCUGAGAGGGUGGACGGCCACACUGGGACUGAGACACGGCCCAGACUCCUGCGGGAGGCAGCAGUGGGGAAUAUUGCGCAAUGGGCGCAAGCCUGAUGCAGCGACGCCGCGUGAGGGAUGGAGGCCUUCGGGUUGUGAACCUCUUUCGCCAGUGAAGCAGGCCUGCUCCUGUGUGGGUGGGUUGACGGUAGCUGGAUAAGAAGCGCCGGCUAACUACGUG
rnacentral:rRNA from 1 species